UAUAUUUUGGAAUAUAUUUUGACAUAAAGCAUUAAAUGCAAGUGCUGUAUUAAAUGUGCCCCCAAUUCCAGCCGGGAAAUAAAAGUGUCUUAUAAAAAUAUAUUCUUGCUUUGAAAUAAAUUUUUAGACAAUGAUUGACAGGCUACCUUCAAAACUUAUGCAUUGUAUAUUUUUGUUUAUAAUUAUGUAUGAUACUUAUGUUCAAAGCGAUUGAUUUGAUGACCGCCCGUCCGCCCGCCAUAAUGACUCCUCGAAAACGAAAAAGACAGCCAUGUUCUCAAAGGAAUUUUUUAAUGCCCGCCAGCCCUAAAAAGACGACUCGUACAAAAAAAAAAACAGUUGCGAAAAGGGGGAGCACGGGCCGGGUGUGCCCCCGUCUGGAUCCGCGCCUGUUGAUAUCAGUGUUAUUUUUCUUACCUACAAAGUAAAAAACUUUCGAUUGCGGAAGAACAAAAUUAAAGAGACGAAAAUUACGGUAAAAAGAUUAACAGCGGCAGCGAAAGAAAUAAAUAUUUGAAAAUCGGUAAUUUUCUAAACUUCUAGGCCCUAUGUCAUGCAAAAAUUUGCUAAGGAAAAAUGACCGAAAUAAUGUUAACAAAAAAAAUUCAAAUUAUAAUCGGCAGCCACUUCCGGUACGGUACUACACUGCUUAAAAAAGUCGGAAAGCGAAUUUUGGUAAACGGUGGGGAAAAUGACGGCAGGAAAAAAAGGUAAAAAAAGACGGGAAUUAAGGAAAAAAUCCAUUAGGCCUAUAUCGAUGUAAUGAAAAUGACUGAAUUUCAAUUAAAGCAGCAAUGUUAAAGGCAUUCCCCCCGAGUUCUAGGCCUACACGCCACAUCUUUUUUAAGUAUUAUUCGUCAGCGAAAAUAACUGCAAUUUGUGACAUUGUCAAGAAGUUUGCCUUCAAAAAGGCCAGACAUAUCAACAAAGCGAUAGGGAAAAUGGCUGUAUAAGACAUGCGACAUAUUUACUAUCGCAUGCGACAUUUCUUCGUGUUUUUGUAAAGGUUUAAACUUAAUCUACAUCAUUUUUGUGAGUCCGAUUUAGAAAGAUCCGUAGGGAUACAUGUUUUCUUCAAGUAUAUAUUUCUCCUUUGAGUUACUCAUUUGGUUGUCUUACUUUGACCUUUGAUAACGUAUAAGGCCGACAGUGCUGUUUUAUUGAAGGGGAGAACACGAAAACCAUAACGGAAAAAAGCGUUGCAGCAGUUAAAGAGAUCGGUCGAAUAUAGACUUUCACGAUCAAAUCUUUGUGGGCUACGAGUAUACCGUACUUAACGUAAAUUUCAAAAGAAAGCAUUUCAAGAUGUGCGACUGAUUUAGAGUAACAUAGAAAACUAUUAUUUCCUUGUUGAUUUUAGCCUACGUGUAACCCUCCUUCCGUAUAGUACUAUGUUCAAUGUAAGUCCGAUUUGGAAGGGAUCGGCAAGGAUUAAGAUGGCAUUUUGUCAUCUUAAUGUCACGUGAAUUUCUUUUAAUGGUUGUUUAUAGUGUGCGGGUAAUAUGCAGUUUCCAAAGCAACCUGCCAUUAUCAGCGUCGGCACAUUAUGACAAAGUAAUCGUGUCUGUUUUAAAAAAGGAAAUAAUGGAAACAUGGGUAGAAUCGUUUGGUUUCCAUUGGGUCCUACCCGUACCCAUGACCUGGUUAUAGGUAGGCUUAGACAUAAUUAUUGGCUACAUUUGCAAUGUUACACUUCAGUAACAAAUGGGCUAGGCCCAGUGUUUUCGUACCCCUGUCCAUUUAGGAAAGAGUUGCAUCUUUCAUCAAAGAAACUGACAUCUAAAAGUUGAGACAAACUGGAUGAGCUAGGCUGCUUUGUCUGGACGAAAAUGAACCCUUCAAGGCUCCAACAGCCUCAUCACACAGAAACUCGAGGAACCGGAAGCAGGAAGGAGGACCGACGGAUAAACGGAUGACCUGCUUGCUGGGCUUCCCAUUACUGAUUCUUGAAAAAUGAUGACCACUGACUGAUGAGGGAAUUGACUCAUGAGAUGAGGAUGAGCCUGCCUCAAGCCAUCGUAAGCUGGGAGGACUGACGAUGGACUGACACCGCCUGCUGGCCUGGCCAUUACUGAUUCUUGAGGACAUGAGGUCCACCAAGCUUGGACGAGACUGGACAAUGACGAAGCUGCUCUACUGGACAAGGAUGCCCUCAUCGGAAACUUGAGUUUAAAAAACUAGCUUGCACAAAAUGAAAUGAUAAAUCAGACUGCAUAAUGCAAUGUCAUUAAUGUUAUACACUAAGGCAACAACACUAAACGAAAAGUAAUUGAUUUCAUUAAAUUAUUUAUGCCUCUAAAAUAAUCUUAAACCGGAUACUGCAACAGACAGUUAACAUUGGACAAUAAUGGAAACUUGCUGAAAAAUUAUUGUCAGGGUAAUAAUUUGUCACUGGCUUUUUAGCGGUGACAUUUCUGGGAGAAGGGAUGUUCCUUUGAUCUGUCCUGGGUCAUCCAAAAUUAUUACAUCAAUAAGUUCAUAAUUUCAUACUCCUUACCUUUAAUGCAUUCAAUUGGAUCUUCUCGGUAAAUUGUAAACGAGGUCUCGCCAAAGGCUUUCUAUUUGCUUUUUGUUCAGUUGACAAUGGAGAAUUUUGCUCUAUAAAUCUAAUUUGAUAUUGAAAGUGCAUUUUUAAGAAAACCAAUUUAAGUCAUAAGAGUUUUGAAAGAUUUCAAAAAGGAUUAAUUUAUUGUUUAAAAACUGAAGAAAUGUAACAAACUUUAUUUAAAUUUAACGUCUUUAACAAGACGUCGGUUUAACUAAAACGUGACUUUAUUUCCAUUGUAUAUUUAUUAGAAAACACAAGAACGUUUAAUUUUUAGGAAAAUUUAAAGAAUAAACUGUUCAAGAACUUCUAUCCAUCAAAAUGCAUUGCAACAGGUAUAAGUGACACUCGAAUUACAUUUGUGUUUGUCCUUUUGUAAUUUAUUUCAUUGCACUUUUUUUACUUGUUAUAUUUUUUACUUCGUAUGCACAAUUGUUUUUCUUGGUGGUUUUGCAUGUCUUUUCAUUUUCUUAUUGAUAAUUAACUAACCUCACAAAAGGAUAAACGCAAUAUAUUUCGAGUGUUGAACUUGCCUGGCAUCAAAUAUUUUUUUUCACAUAAUAGCUAAAUUAGACAAAAUAUAGUCCUGAAAUGUUUUGAAAUAAUCUAGGAAUUUUUUUGGAGGGGGGGCGGGGCAUUCCCAAGUUUUAUCUCCCUUUUUAAACUCUUGUUCACAAAAUGGCGAAAUACAAAAACCUGGCUUCACCGUGUACAGUCAUGUAAGAGGUGGCUUAUGUAAUAAUCAUCUAUGGUAUUAUAAAGUGAUUAUUAAUUUCUCAAAUUUAUUGGCCUUCUGACCAACUUUUUCCUCAUUUUGAAUCUUUUGUAUUUGUUUGUAUGAGUUGGUUUAAAUAUUUGUAUGUCAAUAAGACUAAGGAAUUAAACAAAAUAAAUUAAACUUGAAAGAUGUGAGACACUUGA